rnacentral:snoRNA from 1 species
GGAUUGAGAUGAUUUCAAUGUGAAAGGUCUCGUUCAUCGUAAUUGGCUCUUACAAGCCUUGACGACCAUACACCCAUAUUCCGAGUCC